GACGAACGCUGGCGGCGUGCCUAAUACAUGCAAGUAGAACGCUGAAGGAGGAGCUUGCUUCUCUGGAUGAGUUGCGAACGGGUGAGUAACGCGUAGGUAACCUGCCUGGUAGCGGGGGAUAACUAUUGGAAACGAUAGCUAAUACCGCAUAAGAGUAGAUGUUGCAUGACAUUUGCUUAAAAGGUGCAAUUGCAUCACUACCAGAUGGCCCUGCGUUGUAUUAGCUAGUUGGUGGGGUAACGGCUCACCAAGGCGACGAUACAUAGCCGACCUGAGAGGGUGAUCGGCCACACUGGGACUGAGACACGGCCCAGACUCCUACGGGAGGCAGCAGUAGGGAAUCUUCGGCAAUGGACGGAAGUCUGACCGAGCAACGCCGCGUGAGUGAAGAAGGGUUUCGGAUCGUAAAGCUCUGUUGUAAGAGAAGAACGAGUGUGAGAGUGGAAAGUUCACACUGUGACGGUAUCUUACCAGAAAGGGACGGCUAACUACGUG
rnacentral:rRNA from 1 species